CGAACGCUCAUGUACCGACUAGAGGGUAGCUAGCGCCUAUCUAUCUAUGGUCUAAGAGCUCCCGGCCCAUAAACAGGACGCCCGGAACUUCACUUCAAACUAAACCCCCGGAUGAAGAGCAAAUCCCCCCUCCCUUUAACACUGACGUCCUUUUGUAAUAGGCUUUCUCGGAAGCAAGAAAAUAGCUAGCGCAUAGGGGGGAAAUUUGCUAAGGUUUAGUACUACUGUGUAUUAGGCCUUCAAGAGCUCUGCUACUAACCUAACUUAAUGAGUUAGGCUAUCUUGUUUGGCAGCAUAAAAGCCCAAAAAGAGUAGGUAAUUCUUACCUGUAUCAUUGGCUUCAUCGAUUCCCUUCCUUUCUCCUUCUCUUUCCUUUGAGCUAAGUCUCUUGCAAUGGCUCGUGCAUCUUUGUUUUCUUCCUUGAUUUCAGGAAUGAGUAGCCUUCUUUCCUUCCUUUAGUUCUAGAGUGAAUUUAGGAGUUACAGUUACAGAGCAGGGGAUUCCCUUAAUUAAGGCCUUUAUAAGUAGCAUUCAGGAUCUCUUUAGAAGUUGCAAUAAAAAAAUAUAAUAUAAGAAGUCAAGGUUGUAAAUGACAUGAAAGCCAGAGUUAGAUGACCGGUCUGUAACUUAAAUUCUAUAUUAGAAGAUCGAAUAAGAUGGAAUCUAGCCGGACAAGGAGACAAGGAGGCUAUGGGAGUUCUAACCUCCCUCGAUCUGUAACUGCUAUUCAAAAAUCGUAGUUCUCGACUUUCUUCUUUGAUGAAAGAAGGUUUCUAGUCUAAUCUGAAAGAAACCUAUAUAUAAAUGCCUUCAGAAGAGACAUGAAAGCUGGAGUCAGACAGGAGGUUGGACUUGGACAGCUAGAGCUAGGAGGAAAGGGCUUGAGAUAGGCUUCUAGUCAACCGAUUAAGACUACUACUUCUUUCUAGUAGGCAUUAGAGCGAUGGACUGAGUCUUUAGAGGAAGCAAGUGAAAGUUACUACACGAGGAAGUCAAGGGAUUUUCUUCUUUGCUUGUUUUUUUGUUGUGGUUUGCUUUUGUUGUUUUUUUUUCCCUUUCGUUCUUUUCUUAUGAGGUCGUGUACAACAACCUUAACCGUAUAAGCCUGGGCUGGGCCUACCCCCAUCCCUAGAGGAGCCGUAUGAGGCAGAAGCUCC
rnacentral:lncRNA from 1 species